UCGUCCCCAUCUGCUCUGCUCUUGUGAGGCCCCAUCUGCAGCGCUGCAUCCAGGCCUGGGGCCCCCAGCACAGGAAGGACGUGGAGCUCACGGAGCGGGUCCAGAGGAGGCACUGAGAUGAUCAGAUGGUUGGAGCAGCUCUCCUACAAGGAAAGGUUGAGGGAAGUGGGCUUGUUCAGCCUGGAGAAGAGAAGGCUUGGGGGGGACCUCAUUGCAGCCUCACAGUACUUGAAGGGGGGAACAGCAGGAAGGGGAAUGGCUGUUUACAAGGGUGGAUCGUGAUAGGACAAGGGGAAUGGUUUUAAUGUGAGACAGGGGAGGUUUAGGUUGGUUAUUAGGAGGAAGCUUUUCACACAGAGGGUGGUGACGCACUGGAACGUGCUUCAGAGUCCCUUCCAGGAGGAUCUGCUCCAUGACUUUUUGCAGCACAGAGGUGAGACUGACAUGUUGGCAGUUCCCAGGGUCACACUUUAUAUCUGCAGUAACAGCUGUGCUGUCACCUUUUUUCUGCUCACCAGGGACUUCACCUGACUGCCUCGACUUCUCAAAUACCACUGAGAGUGGCUCGGUGACUGCAGCACUGAAUUCCCUCAGAGCUCUGGGACUCGUCUCAUCAGGACCCAAAGACUCCUGGAUGCUCGGGUCCUCAGGUGGCAGCAGGCUGCGGCGCUCCUGAGUGCCAUAAGGACUGCAUGGAGAUGCGUGGCUCUUAUGGGAGCAGCAAGGAACCGGAAUCUGCAUUUCCUGGAAUGCCUGGAACCCUGCUUUGCUGGCUGGUAAUUGUCUGCCCAGCAGGUGGCAGCGGAGCUGCGGCGCUGCAGAGCGCUGUAAGGACAGCACGGAGAUGCGCGGCUCUUCAGGCAGCAGCAAGGAACCGGAAUCUGCAUUUCCUGGGAUGCCCGGAACCCCGCUUUGCUGGCCGGUAAUUGUCUGCCCAGCAGGUGAAGAUGCCUUCGACGCUUCCAGUCGAUGACUUCCCCCCUGCGACGCCAUUGGCUUUCCAGGCCUCCCACACUCACCGCCAGCUCGGUUCGGUCAACCGUUACCCGAAUCCCCGCUCCGUUCCCUUUCCAUGAUCUUCCCGUCACUCUGCCACAAGCCCCUACCAAGGUCAUCGCAGGCAGCGUGUGGGAUGCGGCGCUCGGUCUCAUUGCAGUUCAUCCCAUCGGCCUCAGCCCAGCGAUCCAACCCACCCGCACCCUUCCUGAGGGCCCUUCUGCUCCCAGGCCAAUCAACGCUUCCUUCUGAUGCCAUCUGAGUUCCCUCCAG